UACGGAGGAUGCAAGCGUUAUCCGGAAUUAUUGGGCGUAAAGCGUCCGCAGGUGGCUGUGUAAGUCUGCUGUCAAAGAGCAAAGCUCAACUUUGUAAAGGCAGUGGAAACUACACGGCUAGAGUGCGUUAGGGGCAGAGGGAAUUCCUGGUGUAGCGGUGAAAUGCGUAGAGAUCAGGAAGAACACCGGUGGCGAAGGCGCUCUGCUAGGCCGCAACUGACACUGAGGGACGAAAGCUAGGGGAGCGAAUGGG
rnacentral:rRNA from 1 species